UAUNGGGCAAUGGGCGCAAGCCUGACCCAGCNACGCCGCGUGAAGGAAGAAGGCUUUCGGGUUGUAAACUUCUUUUAUCAGGGACGAAACAAAUGACGGUACCUGACUAAGAAGCUCCGGCUAAAUACGUGCCAGCAGCCGCGGUAAUACGUAUGGAGCAAGCGUUAUCCGGAUUUACUGGGUGUAAAGGGAGCGUAGGCGGCCUGGCAAGUCUGGUGUGAAAUACCGGGGCCCAACCCCGGGACUGCAUUGGAAACUGCCAGGCUGGAGUGUCGGAGGGGCAGGCGGAAUUCCUAGUGUAGCGGUGAAAUGCGUAGAUAUUAGGAGGAACACCGGUGGCGAAGGCGGCCUGCUGGACGACAACUGACGCUGAGGCUCGAAAGCGUGGGGAGCAAACAGG
rnacentral:rRNA from 1 species